AAAGGAUUAGUUAAUUACAUAACAUCAGAAUGUCAAACUGAAAUAAUCAUAAGUGAUAUCCUUUU
rnacentral:tRNA from 1 species